rnacentral:tRNA from 1 species
GGAGCGGUGCCGGAGUGGUCGAACGGGCACGCCUGGAGAGCGUGUAGGGGUUAACGCCUCUCGUGGGUUCGAAUCCCACCCGCUCCGCCA